AGCCAGUGUGGUGUAGUGGUCUGAAUGUUGGAAUAUAACUCUGGAGACCACGGUUCAAAUCCCUGCUUGGUUG